GGUGCAUUUGCAUGUUGCGGAGUGAUUAGUGGGUUUGAAAAGCGAACCGUGGCUCGGCCUCAUUUCCCGCUCUGGUUCAGGCGCAGGAGGAAGUGUUUUGCUGGAGGAUGAUGACAGAGGUCAGGCUUCGCUAAUGGGCCAGUGAGGAGCGGUGGAGGCGAGGCCGGGCGCCGGCACACACACAUUAACACACUUGAGCCAUCACCAAUCAGCAUAGGAAUCUGAGAAUUGCUCUCACACACCAACCCAGCAACAUCCGUGGAGAAAACUCUCACCAGCAACUCCUUUAAAACACCGUCAUUUCAAACCAUUGUGGUCUUCAAGCAACAACAGCAGCACAAAAAACCCCAACCAAACAAAACUCUUGACAGAAGCUGUGACAACCAGAAAGGAUGCCUCAUAAAGGGGGAAGACUUUAACUAGGGGUGCGCAGAUGUGUGAGGCCUUUUAUUGUGAGAGUGGACAGACAUCCGAGAUUUCAGAGCCCCAUAUUCGAGCCCCGUGGAAUCCCGCGGCCCCCAGCCAGAGCCAGCAUGCAGAACAGUCACAGCGGAGUGAAUCAGCUCGGUGGUGUCUUUGUCAACGGGCGGCCACUGCCGGACUCCACCCGGCAGAAGAUUGUAGAGCUAGCUCACAGCGGGGCCCGGCCGUGCGACAUUUCCCGAAUUCUGCAGACCCAUGCAGAUGCAAAAGUCCAAGUGCUGGACAAUCAAAACGUGUCCAACGGAUGUGUGAGUAAAAUUCUGGGCAGGUAUUACGAGACUGGCUCCAUCAGACCCAGGGCAAUCGGUGGUAGUAAACCGAGAGUAGCGACUCCAGAAGUUGUAAGCAAAAUAGCCCAGUAUAAGCGGGAGUGCCCGUCCAUCUUUGCUUGGGAAAUCCGAGACAGAUUACUGUCCGAGGGGGUCUGUACCAACGAUAACAUACCAAGUGUAAGUUCAUUGAGAAGAUCUGCCCUCCCUGCCCUAAGCCCAAUGCUCUCUCCUCUUUACCUCCUCCCACCCUCUCUCUCCACUGUCUCUUAGUCUGUGUCCUCUCCCUGCUCCACAUUUGUCUCCUUUGUACCUGGGGGAACAGAGAGGAAUGCCCUGACUUUUCUUUGACUGUCUGGAAAAUGGGAGUCAAGUGUGGGGAGUCAUUCACUUCAUUUGCAUGCUGCAAAACAGAGGGCGGAGGCACCAGGGAAAGGCACUUGAAUGAAGAAGGAAAAUGAGAACCAGAUUGUAACUUCGUCCUAAUCCACCUGCCAGAACUUUCCUUCAGGUGUCACACAUCCAUUUCCAUCCUAAUAUUAAACAAUAUAAUGAAAGAAAGCUUUACACCAAGUCUAAAUAGAUUUUAUUUUCGGGCAGUCUUUUAACAAAGCAAAGCAACCGUGUGAGUUAGGUCACCAGAGACACCAAGCAAUGGUGAAGGACCCCCUCCCCCCAAUUCUCUAUCCAACUAAAUUUCCAUGCCCAAAGUGAUAGCUAUCAUUUUUUCCACGGUGUAUCUGCAAAUCCACCCACUGUCCCGGGGUGGCUGGGAGCUUUUUAAUGGGUUGAGAGUUGCUUUUUAAGGUUGUGGGUGAGCUGAGAUGGGUGACUGUGUCUUCAGGAGGCACUACCAUUUGGUUUGAUUUUGGUUUGAUUUGCAGGUGUCAUCAAUAAACAGAGUUCUUCGCAACCUGGCUAGCGAAAAGCAACAGAUGGGCGCAGACGGCAUGUAUGAUAAACUAAGGAUGUUGAACGGGCAGACCGGAAGCUGGGGCACCCGCCCUGGUUGGUAUCCGGGGACUUCGGUGCCAGGGCAACCUACGCAAGAUGGCUGCCAGCAACAGGAAGGAGGGGGAGAGAAUACCAACUCCAUCAGUUCCAAUGGAGAAGAUUCAGAUGAGGCUCAAAUGCGACUUCAGCUGAAGCGGAAGCUGCAAAGAAAUAGAACAUCCUUUACCCAAGAGCAAAUUGAGGCCCUGGAGAAAGAGUUUGAGAGAACCCAUUAUCCAGAUGUGUUUGCUCGAGAAAGACUAGCAGCCAAAAUAGAUCUACCUGAAGCAAGAAUACAGGUAUGGUUUUCUAAUCGAAGGGCCAAAUGGAGAAGAGAAGAAAAACUGAGGAAUCAGAGAAGACAGGCCAGCAACACACCUAGUCAUAUUCCUAUCAGCAGUAGUUUCAGCACCAGUGUCUACCAACCAAUUCCACAACCCACCACACCUGUUUCCUCCUUCACAUCUGGCUCCAUGUUGGGCCGAACAGACACAGCCCUCACAAACACCUACAGCGCUCUGCCGCCUAUGCCCAGCUUCACCAUGGCAAAUAACCUGCCUAUGCAAGUAAGUGCGGCUGGUGGUGGCCUGCAUAACCCAGGCCCCAGAGAAGUGAGGAGUGGCUCAGGGCCUGCGGACCUCAUUGGCUGUGUCUGCACCCUUGAGAGCUUUUCACACUACAGUGAUUGGCUUGACCAGUCAAGUCGGAGACAGUCAAUCCCAUCACUUUUAAGUGAUUGACUCAUUAAUUCAUGCCCUAAAAAAAUGAGUAAUAAAAAUC
rnacentral:sRNA from 1 species